rnacentral:rRNA from 1 species
UUGGACAAUGGGCGAAAGCCUGAUCCAGCCAUGCCGCGUGUGUGAAGAAGGUCUUCGGAUUGUAAAGCACUUUAAGUUGGGAGGAAGGAUUGUAGAUUAAUACUCUGCAAUUUUGACGUUACCGACAGAAUAAGCACCGGCUAACUCUGUG